UACGUAGGGACCAAGCGUUGUUCGGAUUUACUGGGCGUAAAGGGCGCGUAGGCGGCAAUUCAAGUCAUCUGUGAAAUCUCCGGGCUUAACUCGGAAUGGUCAGGUGAUACUGCUUUGCUAGAGUGCAGAAGGGCAAUCGGAAUUCUUGGUGUAGCGGUGAAAUGCGUAGAUAUCAAGAGGAACACCUGAGGUGAAGACGGGUUGCUGGGCUGACACGUGACGCUGAGGCGCGAAAGCUAGGGGAGCAAACGGG
rnacentral:rRNA from 1 species